rnacentral:RNase_P_RNA from 1 species
GCCGGCGGGAGGAAAGUCCGGACACCGCAGGGCGGAAUUCCAUUUGAAAAGAUGGGAUGUUGUCGGCAACGGCAGCAUACGGAAAGUGCCACAGAAAAUAGACCGCCGCCGCGGGCGACCGCAGCGGUAAGGGUGAAAAGGCGGUUUAAGAGACCACCGCCGCGCGAGCAAUCGACGCGGGCAAGGUAAACCCAAUUCGGUGCAAGACAAUGUAGGAGGCGGAGCUGCCCGCUCGCAAACGUCUCGGGUAUGUCGCUUAGAUAAAUGAAUGUCGUCAUAAAAGAUACAGAAUCCGGCUUACCCCCGGCU